rnacentral:misc_RNA from 1 species
UCUUGUGUGAAUGAUGGGAAAUCGGCGACAGGAACUAUUUUCAAAGAUCUCGCUGGUGGAUAUUAUGAUGCUGGAGAUGCUAUCAAGUUCCAUUUUCCUGCAUCUUUUGCUAUGACCAUGUUGAGCUGGAGCGUUAUUGAGUACAGUGCUAAGUAUGAAGCUGCUGGGGAGCUCAAUCAUGUCAAAGAUAUUAUUAAGUGGGGAACUGAUUACUUUCUCAAGACUUUCAACCACACUGCGGAUACCAUCACCACCAUUGCUGCACAGGUUGGUUCAGGAGAUACUUCUGGAGGCAAUUCGUCUCCUAAUGAUCAUUAUUGCUGGAUGCGGCCUGAAGACAUUGAUUACCCGCGGCCUGUUACUGAAUGCCAUAGUUGUUCCGAUCUUGCUGCAGAAAUGGCUGCUGCCCUAGCUUCUGCAUCCAUUGUUUUCAAAGAUAACAAGGCCUACUCACAAAAACUCGUUCAGAAACUUGUCCAUGGUGCUAAAACUCUCUAUAAAUUCGCAAGGGAAGAGCGAGGUAGAUAUAGUGCAGGUAGUUCAGAAGCUGCCAUUUUCUAUAAUUCAACUAGCUACUGGGAUGAGUUUAUAUGGGGUGCAACUUGGCUCUACUAUGCUACUGGGAAUUCUUCUUAUCUUCAGCUUGCUACUACUCCUGGUUUGGCCAAGCAUGCUGGUGCUUUCUGGGGAGGGCCAUACUAUGGUGUGCUUAGCUGGGAUAACAAGCUCACUGGUUGUCAGGUGCUUUUGAGUCGUUUGAGACUGUUUUUGAGCCCUGGAUAUCCAUAUGAAGAAAU